rnacentral:lncRNA from 1 species
CAAGAAUGAGGAGAUUUAGCAUCACUUUCAUUGUGGCGAUGGUGAUACUACUACAUUUGCAGCUUCACUUCGUAUGGCCUCUCUUUGGUAGUUCUUCCUCGGCCACUGCACCAUUCACAAUCAACAAGGGGAUUGUGAGAAAGCUGCUGGAGGAAGCUCCUCCUCCAAAUCCUAGUAAGUAUUCGUUUGAAAAUCUUUAGCUUUCUCUUUACCAUCGCUGCAAAUUUCCAGCCGAAUUUGGAGAAUUUCGACCGGGGAAUCGUCAGCCACCCCUCUGCUGCAACCCAUAAAACGCGAUUCGAAAAGCCCCAUCCCAUAUCUCACAACGGGAAAUGCUGACUUCACAAAGAUAAAGAACUAAGAAUCACAAAGAUAUCCUUAACAUUUUUCUCUUGUAUAAAACAAUGGACAGCUCCGUACAGUCCGGAAUAAAUAGAAAGGUAGCAUACUUCUGCA